GCCAUCCCGGUAUAUCCGUUUGGCACAAUGCUGAGGCUGAGCAGGAGGAAGGUGGUGAGCUGAAACGGUCCCCAUUCCCCCAGGAACGCAGUGACUUCCUCAUAGUCCAGAGACGCCAUGAGUGCUGCAGAGUAAAGGAUAUGCGGUUAUUAAAAGAAAUGAGGAGAAGAUGGAGAGAAUCACAGCAACGCAGACAAGUAACUGUUUGGUUCAGCUCAGCCACCAAAUUCGAUCUCAGAAGACUACAGAGGGUAGUCCGG